CAUAUUAUAUAAUGUACUUUGUAACCAGUUGGAAACACAUUUAACAAAUGUGGCUGGACACGCUGAAUAGUGGCACACGUUUUAUAGGGAUACCUUUAAAGACGUAAUAGAUGUUCCUUUAGAAGAGUAAUCUUCUGGGUAAGAAUGUAGACAAAGAUGCAUUCAAAACAUGGCGUGGUGCAAUAGGAUAAGUGGAAGUCAAAUGACUAUGAGAAAUCGGGAUCACAAUAGACGGUCCGUGGGACAAGAAUCCAUUAUUGCAAUGUGUGGUAGCAUUGCUUCCGAUGGAAAAACCAAUAAGAUCUUAGUUCGGUUGAUGGGAGAAAUUCCUAUAAGAGAAAGCAUAGGUACGAGUAGAGAAAACCCGACAUUAUGAAUAAUUCUAUUAUAAUGGGUAUAAAAAUUAUUAUUACUUCUGAAAGUUCUCGAAAGUUGUGGGUAAAAUCCCACUUGGGUUUAGGGAAACCGACUAAAGAAGGUCAGAACUAGCUAUUCUUUCCUCAGACUUUAGCCCCCAAUGCAUGAAUGACAGCUUAUUCUACUUGUAAGGUGAAGACCUACAUUUUUAAGACACCCAAA
rnacentral:ncRNA from 1 species